ensembl:misc_RNA Metazoa_SRP Metazoan signal recognition particle RNA
GCCGGGUGUGAUGGCUCACACCUGUAAUCCCAGCACUUUGGGAGGCCGAGGCAGGUGGAUCACUUGAGGUCAGGAGUUCAAGACUAGCCUGGCCAAGAUGGCAAAACCCUGUCUCUACUAAAAAUACAAAAAUUAGCUGGGGGUGGUGGCGGACGCCUGUAAUCCCAGCUACUUGGGAGGCUGAGGCAGGAGAAUCACUUGAACCUGGGAGGCAGAGGUUGCAGUGAGCCAAGAUCACACAACUGUACUCCAGCCUGGGUGACAAAGCGAGACUCCGUCUCA